UUCCGCUUCCGUCUUCUCCCUCCUCCCGCUUGCUCUCAGUCGCCACCACAGCGGCCGCUGCUGGGCGCGGAGUCUGCUGGUCGGUUGGUGUGUCUCUCAACCUCGGUGUCCGUGCUGUUGAACUGCCCGCCAUGGCUGAGUUAGAUCCGUUCGGCGCCCACGGUUGCGGACCCGCGCUGGGGAACGGAGUGGCCGGCGAAGAGGACCCUGCCGCGGCCUUUUUGGCGCAGCAGGAGAGCGAGAUUGCGGGCAUCGAGAACGACGAGGCCUUCGCUAUCCUGGACGGCGGCGCCCCCGGGCCCCAGCCGCACGGCGAGCCGCCGGGGGGUCCGGGGGUUAAGAUUCUGUGCUGUCCUAGACUGCUUGAAUAUGCUGUUGAUGGAAUCAUGAAUGGCGAAUACUACCAGGAGAGUAAUGGGCCAACAGACAGUUAUGCAGCUAUUUCACAAGUGGAUCGAUUGCAGUCAGAGCCUGAAAGUAUCCGUAAAUGGAGAGAAGAGCAAACAGAACGCUUGGAAGCCCUUGAUGCCAAUUCUCGGAAGCAGGAAGCAGAGUGGAAAGAAAAAGCAAUAAAGGAGCUGGAUGAGUGGUAUGCGAGGCAGGACGAGCAGCUACAGAAGACGAAAGCAAAUAACAGGGUGGCAGAUGAAGCUUUCUACAAACAACCCUUCGCUGACGUGAUUGGUUAUGUCACAAACAUAAACCAUCCUUGCUACAGCCUAGAACAGGCAGCAGAAGAAGCCUUUGUAAAUGACAUUGAAGAGUCGUCCCCAGGCACUGAGUGGGAGCGAGUGGCCCGGCUGUGUGACUUUAACCCCAAGUCCAGCAAGCAGGCCAAAGAUGUCUCCCGCAUGCGUUCUGUCCUCAUCUCCCUCAAGCAGGCCCCCCUGGUGCACUGAAGAGCCACCCUGUGGAAACACUACAUCUGCAAUAUCUUAAUCCUACUCAGUGAAGCUCUUCACGAAGCUGGCAGUCCUUGAGCCCCCAUGUAAAAAGCUCUACAAUCCUGAAGCCACCAUGCUAUGAGGAAGCCCAAAUCAGCCCACGUGGAGAGACCUGGAAACUACAAAGAGAGGAUGCAUGGCCAGCCCUAUUCCAGCUCCAGCCACUGUCUAACUGCAAGUGCAUCUGAUGCCCUGAGUCAGAAUUGCUAAGUAGAGCCUUUCCAAAAUUCCUGACCCACAGAAACCAUAAGAGAAAAUGACUACCGUUUAAGCCUCUUAAGUUUUGAGGUGGUUUGUUACAUAGCAGUAGUAGCUUUGGAUUGUUUCUAAUGCCUACAUUACUCACAUGGGGCUUCAUAAAAAGGAAGGAGUUGGUUCAGAAACUCAGUGAGUGCUCAAUAUUUAGUUUCAAACCUCUUUCUUGGGACCACUUUGCUUUUUAUGUCAGAUUUUAAAUGGAUUCAACAUAGUACUGGAAGUCCUAACCAGAGCGCUUAGGCAAGAAAAGAAUAAAAGGCAUCCACGUUGGAAAGGAAGAAAUAAAACUUUCACUAUUUGCAGAUGACAUGAUUUUAUAUAUUAAAAACCCUAAAGACUCCACCAAAAAACUGUUACUGAUAACAACUAAUAAAUGAAUUACGUUGUAGGAUACAAAAUUAGUAUACAGAAAUUUGUUGCAUUUCUGUACACUAAUAACGAACUAUCAGAAAGAGAAAU